rnacentral:rRNA from 1 species
CUGGCUCAGGAUGAACGCUAGCUACAGGCUUAACACAUGCAAGUCGAGGGGCAUCAGGGUGUAGCAAUACACCGCUGGCGACCGGCGCACGGGUGAGUAACACGUAUCCAACCUGCCCUUUACUCGGGGAUAGCCUUUCGAAAGAAAGAUUAAUACCCGAUGGUAUAACAUGACCUCCUGGUUUUGUUAUUAAAGAAUUUCGGUAGAGGAUGGGGAUGCGUUCCAUUAGGCAGUUGGCGGGGUAACGGCCCACCAAACCUUCGAUGGAUAGGGGUUCUGAGAGGAAGGUCCCCCACAUUGGAACUGAGACACGGUCCAAACUCCUACGGGAGGCAGCAGUGAGGAAUAUUGGUCAAUGGGCGAGAGCCUGAACCAGCCAAGUAGCGUGAAGGAUGACCGCCCUAUGGGUUGUAAACUUCUUUUAUAUGGGAAUAAAGGGUGCCACGUGUGGCAUUUUGUAUGUACCAUAUGAAUAAGGAUCGGCUAACUCCGUGCCAGCAGCCGCGGUAAUACGGAGGAUCCGAGCGUUAUCCGGAUUUAUUGGGUUUAAAGGGAGCGUAGGUGGACAUGUAAGUCAGUUGUGAAAGUUUGCGGCUCAACCGUAAAAUUGCAGUUGAUACUGCGUGUCUUGAGUACAGUAGAGGUGGGCGGAAUUCGUGGUGUAGCGGUGAAAUGCUUAGAUAUCACGAAGAACUCCGAUUGCGAAGGCAGCUCACUGGACUGCAACUGACACUGAUGCUCGAAAGUGUGGGUAUCAAACAGGAUUAGAUACCCUGGUAGUCCACACAGUAAACGAUGAAUACUCGCUGUUUGCGAUAUACAGUAAGCGGCCAAGCGAAAGCAUUAAGUAUUCCACCUGGGGAGUACGCCGGCAACGGUGAAACUCAAAGGAAUUGACGGGGGCCCGCACAAGCGGAGGAACAUGUGGUUUAAUUCGAUGAUACGCGAGGAACCUUACCCGGGCUUAAAUUGCAAAUGAAUAUGCCGGAAACGGCAUAGCCGCAAGGCAUUUGUGAAGGUGCUGCAUGGUUGUCGUCAGCUCGUGCCGUGAGGUGUCGGCUUAAGUGCCAUAACGAGCGCAACCCUUAUCUUCAGUUACUAACAGGUUAUGCUGAGGACUCUGGAGAGACUGCCGUCGUAAGAUGUGAGGAAGGUGGGGAUGACGUCAAAUCAGCACGGCCCUUACGUCCGGGGCUACACACGUGUUACAAUGGGGGGUACAGAAGGCCGCUACACAGCGAUGUGAUGCCAAUCCCUAAAGCCCCUCUCAGUUCGGAUCGAAGUCUGCAACCCGACUUCGUGAAGCUGGAUUCGCUAGUAAUCGCGCAUCAGCCACGGCGCGGUGAAUACGUUCCCGGGCCUUGUACACACCGCCCGUCAAGCCAUGGGAGCCGGGGGUACCUGAAGUACGUAACCGCAAGGAGCGUCCUAGGGUAAAACUGGUGACUGGGGCUAAGUCGUAACAAGGUAACC